GGAGAUGUUACUCACCUUACAUCCAGAGCCUCUCCCUUCAUGCAGUUCUCAAUACAGCGACAGGGUGCAUCAUUAGGAAGGACACCGGGUGCUGCAAGGCAGCGCUUUAUAAUAACGGCGCCCACAAUGACGUCACUAGUGGGACCCAAAACAGCCAUUAGCAGGGUUAAAUGGGUUAUUUAAACCCAAACCUGCAAUGGUUCAGUGCUGUGUGGUGGUUUCCAUCCUGUUGGUUAUCCGAAAGCACGUUCCUGAUACUGUUUAUUGGCUAUUGAUCUUGGCUUGGCUUGACUUUCUGUAUUUUUGGUAUCUCUAACCCUUUGGCUUUG